CGGCGGACGGGUGAGUAAUGUAUGGGGAUCUGCCUGAUGGCGGGGGAUAACUACUGGAAACGGUAGCUAAUACCGCAUAACGUCGCAAGACCAAAGAGGGGGACCUUCGGGCCUCUUGCCAUCGGAUGUGCCCAGAUGGGAUUAGCUUGUAGGUAAGGUAACGGCUUACCUAGGCGACGAUCCCUAGCUGGUCUGAGAGGAUGACCAGCCACACUGGAACUGAGACACGGUCCAG
rnacentral:rRNA from 1 species